CUGUGUGUGUGUGUGUGAGAACAAAACGACCGUGUGUGUGUGUGUGAGAACAAAACGACCGUGUGUGUGUGUGUGAGAACAAAACGACCGUGUGUGUGUGUGUGUGAGAACAAAACGACCGUGUGUGUGUGUGUGAGAACAAAACGACCGUGUGUGUGUGUGUGAGAACAAAACGACCGUGUGUGUGUGUGUGAGAACAAAACGACCGUGUGUGUGUGUGUGAGAACAAAACGACCGUGUGUGUGUGUGUGUGAGAACAAAACGACCGUGUGUGUGUGUGUGUGAGAACAAAAGGACCGUGUGUGUGUGUGUGUGAGAACAAAAGGACCGUGUGUGUGUGUGUGAGAACAAAAGGACCAUGUGUGUGUGUGUGUGAGAACAAAAGGACCGACCGUGUGUGUGUGUGUGAGAACAAAAGGACCGUGUGUGUGUGUGAGAACAAAAGGACCGUCUGUGUGUGUGAGAACAAAAGGAACGUGUGUGUGUGUGAGAACAAAACGACCGUGUGUGUGUGUGUGUGUGUGUGUGAGAACAAAACGACUGUGUGUGUGUGUGUGUGUGAACAAAACGACUGUGUGUGUGAACAGAACGACCGUGUCUGUGUGUGUGAACAGAACGACCGUGUGUGUGUGAACAAAACGACUGUGUGUGUGUG
rnacentral:lncRNA from 1 species